rnacentral:rRNA from 1 species
CCUACGGGCGGCUGCAGUGGGGAAUCUUGCGCAAUGGGCGAAAGCCUGACGCAGCCAUGCCGCGUGAAUGAUGAAGGUCUUAGGAUUGUAAAAUUCUUUCACCGGGGACGAUAAUGACGGUACCCGGAGAAGAAGCCCCGGCUAACUUCGUGCCAGCAGCCGCGGUAAUACGAAGGGGGCUAGCGUUGCUCGGAAUUACUGGGCGUAAAGGGCGCGUAGGCGGACAUUUAAGUCAGGGGUGAAAUCCCAGGGCUCAACUCUGGAACUGCCAUUGUAACUAGGAGUCUAGAGUGAGAGAGAGGUAAGUGGAACUCCGAGUGUAGAGGUGAAAUUCGUAGAUAUUGGGAAGAACACCAGUGGCGAAGGCGACAAACUGGCUGAUUACUGACGCUGAGGCGCGAAAGCGUGGGGAGCAAACAGGAUUAGAUACCCGGGUAGUC